UACGAAGGGGGCUAGCGUUGUUCGGAAUGACUGGGCGUAAAGGGCGCGUAGGCGGCUGAUCAAGUCAGAGGUGAAAUCCCCGGGCUCAACCCGGGAAUUGCCUUUGAGACUGGUCGGCUUGAGAGCGGGAGAGGUGAGUGGAAUUCCCAGUGUAGAGGUGAAAUUCGUAGAUAUUGGGAAGAACACCAGUGGCGAAGGCGGCUCACUGGCCCGUUUCUGACGCUGAGGCGCGAAAGCGUGGGGAGCAAACAGGAUUAGAUACCCUGGUAGUCCACGCCGUAAACGAUGUGUGCUAGACGUUGGGCAGCAUGCUGCUCAGUGUCGCCGCUAACGCAUUAAGCACACCGCCUGGGGAGUACGGCCGCAAGGUUG
rnacentral:rRNA from 1 species